CCUACGGGAGGCAGCAGUGGGGAAUAUUGGGCAAUGGGCGCAAGCCUGACCCAGCAACGCCGCGUGAAGGAAGAAGGCUCUCGGGUUGUAAACUUCUUGUAUCAGGGACGAAGCAAGUGACGGUACCGGAGGAAUAAGCCACGGCUAACGACGGGCCAGCAGCCGCGGUAAUACGUAGGUGGCAAGCGUUAUCCGGAUUUACUGGGUGUAAAGGGCGUGUAGGCGGGAAAGCAAGUCAGAUGGGAAAACCAUGGGCUCAACCUGUGGCCUGCAUUUGAAACUGUUUUUCUUGAGUACUGGAGAGGCAGCCGGCAUUCCUAGUGUCGCGGUGACAUGCGUAGAUAUUAGGAGGACCCCCAGUGGCGAAGGCGGUCUGCUGGACAGCACCUGACGCUGAGGCGCGACAGCGUGGGGAGCAAACAGGAUUAGAUACCCUUGUAGUC
rnacentral:rRNA from 1 species